UACGUAGGUGGCAAGCGUUGUCCGGAUUUACUGGGCGUAAAGAGCGCGCAGGCGGUCGAGUAAGUCGAAUGUGAAAGCCCCCGGCUUAACUGGGGAGGGUCAUUCGAUACUGUUCGACUUGAAGGCAGGAGAGGGCAGCAGAAUUCCCGGUGUAGUGGUGAAAUGCGUAGAUAUCGGGAGGAAUACCAGUGGCGAAGGCGGCUGCCUGGCCUGUUCUUGACGCUGAGGCGCGAAAGCUAGGGGAGCAAACAGG
rnacentral:rRNA from 1 species